rnacentral:rRNA from 1 species
UACGUAGGGGGCAAGCGUUGUCCGGAUUCAUUGGGCGUAAAGAGCGUGUAGGCGGCCAGGUAGGUCGGUUGUGAAAACUGGAGGCUCAACCUUCAGACGUCGACCGAAACCAUCUGGCUAGAGUCCGGGAGAGGAGAGUGGAAUUCCUGGUGUAGCGGUGAAAUGCGCAGAUAUCAGGAGGAACACCGGUGGCGAAGGCGGAUCUCUGGGCCUUACCUGACGCUCAGGCGCGAAAGCUAGGGGAGCGAACAGG